rfam:Brachypodium distachyon strain Bd21 chromosome 3, whole genome shotgun sequence.
AAUAUACUCCCUCCGAUCCUAAAUUGUUUUCGAAAUAUUACAUGUAUCUAGACGUCUUUUAAGAAUAGAUACAUUCAUAUCUGGACAAAUUUGAGACAAGAAUUUAGGAUCGGAGGGAGUAGCAA